rnacentral:rRNA from 1 species
GGAUUGAAACCCUUUGCGCGGGACGAGGUAAGGACGGUACCGCGUGAAGAAGCCCCGGCUAACUACGUGC